rnacentral:rRNA from 1 species
GGCUCAGGAUGAACGCUAGCUACAGGCUUAACACAUGCAAGUCGAGGGGAAACGACAUCGAAAGCUUGCUUUUGAUGGGCGUCGACCGGCGCACGGGUGAGUAACGCGUAUCCAACCUGCCCACCACUUGGGGAUAACCUUGCGAAAGUAAGACUAAUACCCAAUGAUAUCUCUAGAAGACAUCUGAAAGAGAUUAAAGAUUUAUCGGUGAUGGAUGGGGAUGCGUCUGAUUAGCUUGUUGGCGGGGUAACGGCCCACCAAGGCAACGAUCAGUAGGGGUUCUGAGAGGAAGGUCCCCCACAUUGGAACUGAGACACGGUCCAAACUCCUACGGGAGGCAGCAGUGAGGAAUAUUGGUCAAUGGACGAGAGUCUGAACCAGCCAAGUAGCGUGCAGGAAGACGGCCCUAUGGGUUGUAAACUGCUUUUAUAAGGGAAUAAAGUGAGUCUCGUGAGACUUUUUGCAUGUACCUUAUGAAUAAGGACCGGCUAAUUCCGUGCCAGCAGCCGCGGUAAUACGGAAGGUCCGGGCGUUAUCCGGAUUUAUUGGGUUUAAAGGGAGCGUAGGCCGGAGAUUAAGCGUGUUGUGAAAUGUAGACGCUCAACGUCUGCACUGCAGCGCGAACUGGUUUCCUUGAGUACGCACAAAGUGGGCGGAAUUCGUGGUGUAGCGGUGAAAUGCUUAGAUAUCACGAAGAACUCCGAUUGCGAAGGCAGCUCACUGGAGCGCAACUGACGCUGAAGCUCGAAAGUGCGGGUAUCGAACAGGAUUAGAUACCCUGGUAGUCCGCACGGUAAACGAUGGAUGCCCGCUGUUGGUCUGAAUAGGUCAGCGGCCAAGCGAAAGCAUUAAGCAUCCCACCUGGGGAGUACGCCGGCAACGGUGAAACUCAAAGGAAUUGACGGGGGCCCG